rnacentral:tRNA from 2 species
UAGCUCAGCUGGGAGAGCAUCUGCCUUACAAGCAGAGGGUCAGCGGUUCGAUCCCGUU